rnacentral:rRNA from 1 species
GAUGAACGCUGGCGGCGUGCCUAAUACAUGCAAGUCGAGCGAACGGACGAGAAGCUUGCUUCUCUGAUGUUAGCGGCGGAAGGGUGAGUAACACGUGGAUAACCUACCUAUAAGACUGGGAUAACUUCGGGAAACCGUAGCUAAUACCGGAUAAUAUUUUGAACCGCAUGGUUCAAAAGUGAAAGACGGUCUUGCUGUCACUUAUAGAUGGAUCCGCGCUGCAUUAGCUAGUUGGUAAGGUAACGGCUUACCAAGGCAACGAUGCAUAGCCGACCUGAGAGGGUGAUCGGCCACACUGGAACUGAGACACGGUCCAGACUCCUACGGGAGGCAGCAGUAGGGAAUCUUCCGCAAUGGGCGAGAGCCUGACGGAGCAACGCCGCGUGAGUGAUGAAGGUCUUCGGAUCGUAAAACUCUGUUAUUAGGGAAGAACAUAUGUGUAAGUAACUGUGCACAUCUUGACGGUACCUAAUCAGAAAGCCACGGCUAACUACGUG